AACGCAAAACACUGGAGUGCGGUGAAUAACGUAUGGAAUUGCGAUUUCUACUGCCGGGCGCUCGGAGCCAAAAGGAAUGUUAUGUCGUGUGGCAUUCCGUCCUGUGUUGGCUACCUGCCGCCGGACGAUCCCAGGAGAAAAUACCAUACGCCUGACAUCUUUUUACCCCCUGGCUACCGCCCCCAGGACAGAAA